rnacentral:tRNA from 1 species
GGGGGUGUAACUCAAUUGGUAGAGUGGCGGACUCUUAAUCCGUAAGUUGGGGGUUCGAUCCCCCCCGCCCCUACCA